rnacentral:rRNA from 1 species
GAUGAACGCUGGCGGCGUGCCUAAUACAUGCAAGUCGAGCGAACGGACGAGAAGCUUGCUUCUCUGAUGUUAGCGGCGGACGGGUGAGUAACACGUGGAUAACCUACCUAUAAGACUGGGAUAACUUCGGGAAACCGGAGCUAAUCCCGGAUAAUAUUUUGAACCGCAUGGUUCAAAAGUGAAAGACGGUCUUGCUGUCACUUAUAGAUGGAUCCGCGCUGCAUGAGCUAGUUGGUAAGGUCACGGCUUACCAAGGCAACGAUGCAUAGACGACCUGAGAGGGUGAUCGGCCACACUGGAACGGAGACACGGACCAGACUCCUACGGGAGGCAGCAGUAGGGAAUCUGCCGCAAUGGGCGAAAGCCUGACGGAGCAACGCCGCGUGAGUGAUGAAGGUCUUCGGAGCGUAAAACUCUGUUAUUAGGGAAGAACAUAUGUGUAAGUAACUGUGCACAGCUUGACGGUACCUAAUCAGAAAGCCACGGCUAACUACGUG